GACGUAGGGCGCGAGCGUUGUCCGGAAUUAUUGGGCGUAAAGAGCUCGUAGGCGGUUUGUCGCGUCUGCUGUGAAAUCCCGAGGCUCAACCUCGGGCUUGCAGUGGGUACGGGCAGACUAGAGUGCGGUAGGGGAGACUGGAAUUCCUGGUGUAGCGGUGGAAUGCGCAGAUAUCAGGAGGAACACCGAUGGCGAAGGCAGGUCUCUGGGCCGCAACUGACGCUGAGGAGCGAAAGCAUGGGGAGCGAACAGG
rnacentral:rRNA from 1 species